GAUGAACGCUGGCGGCGUGCCUAAUACAUGCAAGUCGAGCGAACGGACGAGAAGCUUGCUUCUCUGAUGUUAGCGGCGGACGGGUGAGUAACACGUGGAUAACCUACCUAUAAGACUGGGAUAACUUCGGGAAACCGGAGCUAAUACCGGAUGAUAUUUUGAACCGCAUGGUUCAAAAGUGAAAGACGGUCUUGCUGUCACUUAUAGAUGGAUCUGCGCUGCAUUAGCUAGUUGGUAAGGUAAAGGCUUACCAAGGGAACGAUGCAUAGCCGACCUGAGAGGGUGAGCGGCCACACUGGAAGUGAGACACGGUCCAGACUCCUACGGGAGGCAGCAGUAGGGAAUCUUCCGCAAUGGGCGAAAGCCUGACGGAGCAACGCCGAGUGAGUGAUGAAGGUCUUCGGAUCGUAAAACUCUGUUAUUAGGGAAGAACAUAUGUGUAAGUAACUGUGCACAUCUUGACGGUACCUAAUCAGAAAGCCACGGCUAACUACGUG
rnacentral:rRNA from 1 species